rnacentral:piRNA from 1 species
UGACUCAGAGAAAAGAGUGGAUAUGCC